UUGAGAGUUUAGCUGAAAGGAUUUGGGGCUGGGUUGUAUAAUACAUACCAUGAGCAAGCUGAAAUCAUGAGGAAGUUGGUCAUGGGGAGAGUUUCAGAGAGAGGCAGAGAUACCUAAAAGAAGAACAGAGAAAGUGAUGCCUUGGAGAUUCCUAAUGGGGUAUUGAUUCCAGACCAUGUGUGCUCUUGUCAUUUCAAGAUUCCAUGGAUCUGCAUGUCUCUGACUGAAUCAGCUUUGACAAACAAACCAGUCUAUUUUCUUUGCCUUAUAUCAGUCCCCACAAGACUUUCUAGCACAAGAUGCUCCAGACUCAUUUUAAGUAUUUCCUGCCCCAGUCCUAGAACCAGAC